rnacentral:rRNA from 1 species
UACGGGGGGAGCAAGCGUUGUUCGGAUUUACUGGGCGUAAAGGGCGCGUAGGCGGUCAGCACAAGUCAGUUGUGAAAUCUCCGGGCUUAACUCGGAAAGGUCAACUGAUACUGUGCGACUAGAGUGCGGAAGGGGCAACUGGAAUCUCGGUGUAGCGGUGAAAUGCGUAGAUAUCGAGAGGAACACCUGCGGCGAAGGCGGGUUGCUGGGCCGACACUGACGCUGAUGCGCGAAAGCGUGGGGAGCAACGGG